CCUACGGGUGGCAGCAGUCGAGAAUCAUUCACAAUGGGGGAAACCCUGAUGGUGCGACGCCGCGUGGGGGAAUGAAGGUCUUCGGAUUGUAAACCCCUGUCAUGUGGGAGCAAAUUAAAAAGAUAGUACCACAAGAGGAAGAGACGGCUAACUCUGUGCCAGCAGCCGCGGUAAUACAGAGGUCUCAAGCGUUGUUCGGAAUCACUGGGCGUAAAGCGUGCGUAGGCUGUUUCGUAAGUCGUGUGUGAAAGGCGCGGGCUCAACCCGCGGACGGCACAUGAUACUGCGAGACUAGAGUAAUGGAGGGGGAACCGGAAUUCUCGGUGUAGCAGUGAAAUGCGGAGAUAUCGAGAGGAACACUCGUGGCGAAGGCGGGUUGCUGGACAUUAACUGACGCUGAGGCACGAAGGCCAGGGGAGCGAAAGGGAUUAGAUACCCCGGUAGUC
rnacentral:rRNA from 1 species